GACGAACGCUGGCGGCGUGCUUAACACAUGCAAGUCGAACGGAAAGGCCCUGCUUUUGUUGGUUGCUCGAGUGGCGAACGGGUGUGUAACACGUGAGUAACCUGCCCUUGACUUUGGGAUAACUUCAGGAAACUGGGGCUAAUACCGGAUAGGAGCUCCUGCUGCAUGGUGGGGGUUGGAAGGUUUCGGCUGUUUGGGAUGGACUCGCGGCUUAUCAGCUUGUUGGUGGAGUAGUUGCUUACCAAGGCUUUGACGGGUAGCCGGCCUGAGAGGGUGACCGGCCACAUUGGGACUGAGAGACGGACCAGACGCCUACGGGAGGCAGAAGGGGGGAAUAUGGCACAAUGGGGGGAAGCCUGAUGCAGAAAUGCCGCGUGCGGGAUGACGGCCUUCGGGGUGUAAACAGCUGUCGCCUGUGACGAAGCGGGAGUGACGGUAAUGGGUAAAGAAGCAACGGCUAACUACGUG
rnacentral:rRNA from 1 species